rnacentral:rRNA from 1 species
CAACAACAGACUCGGUGAAAUUGUAAUUCCGGUGAAGAUGCCGGAUACCUGCGACAGGACGGAAAGACCCCAUGGGGCUUUACUGUAGCUUGACAUUGGGUCUUGGUACUACAUGUACAGGAUAGGUGGGAGGCUUUGAAACCAGGACGCCAGUUUUGGCGGAGCCAUCCUUGGGAUACCACCCUUGUAGUACUGGGACUCUA